GUGUCGGGGGUCGAACCUCGGUGCCGCAGCUAACGCAUUAAGCAUUCCACCUGGGGAGUACGAUCGCAAGAUUGAAACUCAAAGGAAUUGACGGGGGCCCGCACAAGCGGUGGAGCAUGUGGUUUAAUUUGAAGCAACGCGAAGAACCUUACCAAAUCUUGACAUCCUUCUGAUCGUUCUUUAAUCGGAACUUUCCUUCGGGACAGAAGAGACAGGUGGUGCAUGGUUGUCGUCAGCUCGUGUCGUGAGAUGUUGGGUUAAGUCCCGCAACGAGCGCAACCCUUAUCUUUAGUAGCCAGCAAGUUAAGUUGGGGACUCUAGAGAGACUGCCGGGGACAACUCGGAGGAAGGUGGGGAUGACGUCAAAUCAUCAUGCCCCUUAUGAUUUGGGCUACACACGUGCUACAAUGGCGGUGACAAAGGGAAGCGAAAUGGUGACAUGGAGCAAACCCCAAAAAAGCCGUCCCAGUUCGGAUUGUAGUCUGCAACUCGACUACAUGAAGUUGGAAUCGCUAGUAAUCGCGAAUCAGAAUGUCGCGGUGAAUACGUUCCCGGGCCUUGUACACACCGCCCGUCACACCAUGGGAGUUGGUUUUACCCGACGGCCGUGCGCUAACCUUUUGGAGGCAGCGGACCACGGUAGGAUCAGCGACUGGGGUGAAGUCGUAACAAGGUAGCCGUAGGGGAACCUGCGGCUGGAUCACCUCCUU
rnacentral:rRNA from 1 species